AAUGCCUUAACCCCGUGCUAUUCCUAGCAUUGGGUCCUUCGAACAAAACUGUGGGCUGUUUUGCUCCUGCUGCCUCGAUUCAAAAUCAUGUAGACAAAAUGCAGAGUAUUAAUUACAAAAUGAUAUCAGCAGCAGUUACUCAGUUUAGCAUAGGAUCUAAUAAAAUAAAAUGUUUGACACUUUGGAUAAGCAAAAGAAAUCAUGAUAUGUCUUCCUAGGUAGUGAUAAACAGCAAAGCCAACAUACUCAUUUAACUAUUUCCUGAGAAACAACAAAAUUGGCAAGUUCUAAAAGACAAGAGAAAAAAAAAUCCAAAAAUGACUACCAAAAUAUACCAGUGGAGACGUACUUAAAUUGUUUAUCUGGAAGGUUUAGGGGACAUAAUGGCCAUGACCGGGGUGUGGGCCGAACGCGAUCACGAUGCGGAAGGGAUCUCAAUAUAGAUAACUAUGCUCACCUGAACAAUGCAUGUUCAGGACAUCAUAUCAAGCAGAAGAGAGUCAACUUAGGCAUGCUACUUCUCAUAAUUUCAUAGCUUCCCUGUAAAGAAACAAACAGAACAAUUAAAUUUUACAUGAACCAAUAAAAGGUCAACUGUAUUGUGUAGAAGAAAUUCUUCUAAGUUUAAUAUAUACAUAACACCGAAGGAAUCAACACAUGCAUGGGCCCCUUUAAAUCACAGGAUUGAGAAAACAGAGGAAUAGAAAAAACGUAGGAAUUGAAUGCCACACUUACUGAAUUCCUAUGGGAUUUUGAAACACAGGAAAGUCUUCGAACUGUCGUUUGAUUAGCACACAUGAAAAACGCAGGAACCUUAGACACAUGAAGAGGAAAACAUGAGGUGAGACCUCAUGCUUAUUUUCCUUCAAAAUUGCUCUAGUAAGGUUCAUUCCAUAGGAAUUUCAAAGGAAUUGAUAGGAAACAAUCCUUUGUUUCAAAGGACUCUAUAGGAUUAUUUCCCAUAGGAUAAAAUCCUCUAGAAUUCCUAUGGUUUUUCCUUUGAUUCAAAGGGGGCCUAAAAGUGCUUGUAUUUAUCUAUUAAAAAUGCUUGUGAAUCAGGGGAGUUCAGGGGAAAUUUAGUGCACUCCGCACACAUGUAAGAAUUGUACAUCAGUAUAGAAACUUGCAGCUAACAACGAAUUCAUAUGGAACGGCAAAAACUCAAAUUAUUUUGAGGUGUACAUCGAAUGCAGAGCUUUCUUUCGGCCAAUUACUUUCUUCUUAUUUCACUAUUCUCUCAGACCAUUUGUGGCAACUUUCGAGCAGAUUUUGUUCAGAAUCAUCAAAUAUUCGAGAAGAAAUUCAACUUUGCAAGCAAUUAACUUCUGAUGAUAAAUUGAAGAGAAAGGGGAGAUGAUUUAAAGGAUUCACUCAGAUUGGCCAUAGAAAUUAUGUAGAAACCUGUAGUGAGUAAUAGAUUGGAUUUAAAUAUAUCUUUGUGAGGUAUUUAACUUCUAAUGAUGAAUUGAAGAGAAUGGCGGUGAUUUAAAGAUUUCACUCGGUGAAGGUUGGUCUUGCAAAAUUAUGAGAUAGGCCUGCAAUAAGCAAGAGAACAUUUAUUUGGGAAGAAAUUCAACUUUGUAAGUAUUUAACUUCUAAUGACGAAUUGAAGAGAAAAUGGUGGUGUGCUUCACUGAGACGGGCCAUAAAAAAAUUACUCCUAUUCAGAGA
rnacentral:lncRNA from 1 species